rnacentral:rRNA from 1 species
GACGAACGCUGGCGGCGUGCUUAACACAUGCAAGUCGUACGGUAAGGCCCUUUCGGGGGUACACGAGUGGCGAACGGGUGAGUAACACGUGAGUAACCUGCCCACAACUUUGGGAUAACGCUAGGAAACUGGUGCUAAUACUGGAUAUGUGCUCCUGCUGCAUGGUGGGGGUUGGAAAGCUCCGGCGGUUGUGGAUGGACUCGCGGCCUAUCAGCUUGUUGGUGGGGUAGUGGCCUACCAAGGCGGCGACGGGUAGCCGGCCUGAGAGGGUGACCGGCCACAUUGGGACUGAGAUGCGGCCCAGACUCCUACGGGAGGCAGCAGUGGGGAAUAUUGCACAAUGGGCGCAAGCCUGAUGCAGCAACGCCGCGUGCGGGAUGACGGCCUUCGGGUUGUAAACCGCUUUCAGCAGGGACGAAGCUUUUUGUGACGGUACCUGCAGAAGAAGCACCGGCUAACUACGUG